GACGAACCGUGCGAACGUUGUUCGGAAUCACUGGGCUUAAAGGGCGCGUAGGUGGUCUGCCAAGUCCGGGGUGAAAUCCUCCAGCUCAACUGGAGAAGUGCCUUGGAUACUGGCGGACUCGAGGGAGGCAGGGGUCGUGGGAACUUCCGGUGGAGCGGUGAAAUGCGUUGAUAUCGGAAGGAACGCCGGUGGCGAAAGCGCACGACUGGUCCUCUUCUGACACUGAGGCGCGAAAGCCAGGGGAGCAAACGGG
rnacentral:rRNA from 1 species